AUUGAACGCUGGCGGCAGGCCUAACACAUGCAAGUCGAACGGUAACAGGAAGAAGCUUGCUUCUUUGCUGACGAGUGGCGGACGGGUGAGUAAUGUCUGGGAAACUGCCUGAUGGAGGGGGAUAACUACUGGAAACGGUAGCUAAUACCGCAUAACGUCGCAAGACCAAAGAGGGGGACCUUCGGGCCUCUUGCCAUCGGAUGUGCCCAGAUGGGAUUAGCUAGUAGGUGGGGUAACGGCUCACCUAGGCGACGAUCCCUAGCUGGUCUGAGAGGAUGACCAGCCACACUGGAACUGAGACACGGUCCAAACUCCUACGGGAGGCCGCAGUGGGGAAUAUUGCACAAUGGGCGCAAGCCUAAUGCAGCCAUGCCGGGUGUAUGAAGAAGGCCUUCGGGUUGUAAAGUACUUUCAGCGGGGAGGAAGGGAGUAAAGUUAAUACCUUGGCUCAUUGACGUUACCCGCAGAAGAAGCACCGGCUAACUCCGU
rnacentral:rRNA from 1 species